rnacentral:piRNA from 2 species
UGGUUAAGGCGUUGGACUCGAAAUC